AUUGAACGCUGGCGGCAGGCCUAACACAUGCAAGUCGAGCGGAUGAAGGGAGCUUGCUCCUGGAUUCAGCGGCGGACGGGUGAGUAAUGCCUAGGAAUCUGCCUGGUAGUGGGGGAUAACGUCCGGAAACGGGCGCUAAUACCGCAUACGUCCUGAGGGAGAAAGUGGGGGAUCUUCGGACCUCACGCUAUCAGAUGAGCCUAGGUCGGAUUAGCUAGUUGGUGGGGUAAAGGCCUACCAAGGCGACGAUCCGUAACUGGUCUGAGAGGAUGAUCAGUCACACUGGAAGUGAGACACGGUCAAGGCUACUAAGGGAGGCAGCAGUGGGGAAUAUUGGACAAUGGGCGAAAGCCUGAUCCAGCCAUGCCGCGUGUGUGAAGAAGGUCUUCGGAUUGUAAAGCACUUUAAGUUGGGAGGAAGGGCAGUAAGUUAAUACCUUGCUGUUUUGACGUUACCAACAGAAUAAGCACCGGCUAACUUCGUG
rnacentral:rRNA from 1 species